rnacentral:rRNA from 1 species
AACGCGAAGAACCUUACCUGGAUUUGACAUUUAUAUGCUAGUAUCAGAGAUGAUAUGUUCUCGCAAGAGACGUAUGAACAGGUGCUGCAUGGCUGUCGUCAGCUCGUGCCGUGAGGUGUUAGGUUAAGUCCUGCAACGAGCGCAACCCUUGUCGUUAGUUGCCAGCGAGUAAUGUCGGGCACUCUAGCGAGACUGCCUGGGUUAACCAGGAGGAAGGUGAGGAUGACGUCAAGUCCGCAUGGCCUUUAUAUCCAGGGCUACACACGUGCUACAAUGGCCGAUACAGAAGGGAGCAAAACCGAAAGGUGGAGCAAAUCCAGAAAGUCGGCCCCAGUUCAGAUUGGAGUCUGCAACUCGACUCCAUGAAGAUGGAAUUGCUAGUAAUGGCGAGUCAGCAACAUCGCCGUGAAUACGUUCCCGGGCCUUGUACACACCGUACGUC